AUUUUAGAUGAAUGCAAUGGUUUCAAUGCAGGGUGAAGAUAUGAGGACAUUGAUACAAUUAAAUUGCAUGGGUCAAUUCAACGAGACUGGACAGAGGGUUGAAAAGUGCAAGCUUUUAAAGAAUUAUUAAGACUGCUGCUUACAAGGCUUACAAAGCAUCAAAGACAAUCUCUUACGAUUUAAUGAGAGGUGGGACGAAGAGUUUUGAUCCAUACCUUCCUGGAGGAAUUCAUUAAAUAUGAAAAGAAGAAAAUAGAGAAGUCCAAGUGUAAAACAGAUUACUUUCUAAUGGAAUAAGGAUGCUGUGAUCUUUUCGUUUUUCAAACAGUAAAAAUUUUAUUUGAGGGAAGACUGUAAUUUUAUUGUGCAGGUGUUAAAAAAACAGUGUUUAGACAACAUUAAUGAAUGGAUUCAAAUUUAUUAAAUUAUAAGAAAUA